CCUACGGGUGGCAGCAGUAGGGAAUAUUGCUCAAUGGGGGAAACCCUGAAGCAGCAAAGUCGCGUGGAGGAUGAAGGUUUUAGGAGUGUAAAAUCAUUUUGGUAGAGAAGUGUAUGGAGGUAUGUAACGACUAUGCACCGGCUAACUCCGUGCCAGCAGCCGCGGUAAUACGGAGGGUGCAAGCGUUAAUCGGAAUUACUGGGCGAAAAGGGUGCGUAGGCGGCGUGUUAAGUGAGAUGUGAAAUACUGUCGCUUAUCUACAGAACUGCAUUUGAAACUGUUACUCUUGAGUGCGGGCGAGGUAGGUGGAAUUCGUGGUGUAGCGGUGAAAUCCGUAGAGAUCACGAAGAAUACUCAUUGCGAAGGCGACCUACUGGAACAUUACUGACGCUGAUGCACGAAAGCGUGGGGAGCAAACAGGAUUAGAUACCCGGGUAGUC
rnacentral:rRNA from 1 species